UACGUAGGGUGCAAGCGUUGUCCGGAAUUAUUGGGCGUAAAGAGCUCGUAGGCGGCUUGUCGCGUCGGCUGUGAAAUCCCGAGGCUCAACCUCGGGUCUGCAGUCGAUACGGGCGGACUGGAGUUCGGCAGGGGAGACUGGAAUUCCUGGUGUAGCGGUGAAAUGCGCAGAUAUCAGGAGGAACACCGGUGGCGAAGGCGGGUCUCUGGGCCGAUACUGACGCUGAGGAGCGAAAGCGUGGGGAGCGAACAGG
rnacentral:rRNA from 1 species